rnacentral:tRNA from 1 species
CAAAGUGUAGCUUAAAUUAAAGCACCUGGUUUACACCCAGAAGAUUCCAACUCAAACUGAACACUUUGA